CGGGGUGGAGUAGUGUCUGGGAAACUGCCUGAUGGAGGGGGAUAACUGCUGGAAACGGUAGCUAAUACCGCAUAACGUCGCAAGACCAAAGAGGGGGACCUUCGGGCCUCUUGCCAUCGGAUGUGCCCAGAUGGGAUUAGCUAGUAGGUGGGGUAACGGCUCACCUAGGCGACGAUCCCUAGCUGGUCUGAGAGGAUGGCCAGCCACACUGGAACUGAGACACGGUCCAG
rnacentral:rRNA from 1 species